rnacentral:RNase_P_RNA from 1 species
GUAAUCCCCUGGAAAGUGCCACAGAAAACACACCGCCUCGGCCAUGUGGCUGGGGUAAGGGUGAAAAGGUGGGGUAAGAGCCCACCGCCUCCUUUCACGAGAAAGGAGGGCACGGCAAACCCCGCCUGGAGCAAGGCCGUGUAGGGGACAGGGUGGUCCCGCCCUUAUGUCCCGGGUAGGCCGCUUGAGCAGUCAGGUGACUGACUGCCCAGAUGAAUGGCCACUGCCCCCAAUUAAAGGGGGAACAGAACCCGGCUUAUGACCAGCCCUCCCU